GACGAACGCUGGCGGCGUGCCUAAUACAUGCAAGUAGAACGCUGAAGGAGGAGCUUGCUUCUCUGGCUGAGUUGCGAACGGGUGAGUAACGCGUAGGUAACCUGCCUGGUAGCGGGGUAUAACUUUUGGAAACGAUAGCUAAUACCGCAUAAGAUUCGAUGUUGCAUGACAUUUGCUUAAAAUGUGCAAUUGCCUCACUACCAUAUGCCCCUGCGUUGUAUUAGCUAGUUGGUGGGGUAACGGCUCACCAAGGCGACGAUACAUAGCCUACCUGAGAGGGUGAUCGGCCACACUGGGACUGAGACACGGCCCAGACUCCUACGGGAGGCAGCAGUAGGGAAUCUUCGGCAAUGGACGGAAGUCUGACCGAGCAACGCCGCGUGAGUGAAGAAGGUUUUCGGAUCGUAAAGCUCUGUUGUAAGAGAAGAACGAGUGUGAGAGUGGAAAGUUCACACUGUGACGGUAUCUUACCAGAAAGGGACGGCUAACUACGU
rnacentral:rRNA from 1 species